CGGCAGCGCGGGAGCAUCCUGGCGGCGAGUGGCGAACGGGUGAGUCAUACAUCGGAACGUGUCCUGUAGUGGGGGAUAGCCCGGCGAAAGCCGGAUUAAUACCGCAUACGAUCUACGGAUGAAAGCGGGGGAUCGCAAGACCUCGCGCUAUAGGGGCGGCCGAUGGCGGAUUAGCUAGUUGGUGGGGUAAAGGCCCACCAAGGCGACGAUCCGUAGCUGGUCUGAGAGGACGACCAGCCACACUGGGACUGAGACACGGCCCAGACUCCUACGGGAGGCAGCAGUGGGGAAUUUUGGACAAUGGGCGCAAGCCUGAUCCAGCAAUGCCGCGUGUGUGAAGAAGGCCUUCGGGUUGUAAAGCACUUUUGUCCGGAAAGAAAUCCUCUGGGUUAAUACCCCGGGGGGAUGACGGUACCGGAAGAAUAAGCACCGGCUAACUACGUGCCAGCAGCCGCGGUAAUACGUAGGGUGCGAGCGUUAAUCGGAAUUACUGGGCGUAAAGCGUGCGCAGGCGGUGAUGUAAGACCGAUGUGAAAUCCCCGGGCUUAACCUGGGAACUGCAUUGGUGACUGCAUCGCUGGAGUAUGGCAGAGGGGGGUAGAAUCCACGUGUAGCAGUGAAAUGCGUAGAGAUGUGGAGGAAUACCGAUGGCGAAGGCAGCCCCCUGGGCCCAUACUGACGCUCAUGCACGAAAGCGUGGGGA
rnacentral:rRNA from 1 species